UUNUGAACUGGGUGACUAGAGUGUGUUAGAGGGAGGUAGAAUUCCACGUGUAGCAGUGAAAUGCGUAGAGAUGUGGAGGAAUACCGAUGGCGAAGGCAGCCUCCUGGGAUAACACUGACGUUCAUGCCCGAAAGCGUGGGUAGCAAACAGGAUUAGAUACCCUGGUAGUCCACGCCCUAAACGAUGUCGAUUAGCUGUUGGGCAGCUUGACUGCUUAGUAGCGAAGCUAACGCGUGAAAUCGACCGCCUGGGGAGUACGGUCGCAAGAUUAAAACUCAAAGGAAUUGACGGGGACCCGCACAAGCGGUGGAUGAUGUGGAUUAAUUCGAUGCAACGCGAAGAACCUUACCUGGUCUUGACAUGUACGGAACCCUCCAGAGACGGAGGGGUGCCUUCGGGAGCCGUAACACAGGUGCUGCAUGGCUGUCGUCAGCUCGUGUCGUGAGAUGUUGGGUUAAGUCCCGCAACGAGCGCAACCCUUGUCAUUAGUUGCCAUCAUUAAGUUGGGCACUCUAAUGAGACUGCCGGUGACAAGCCGGAGGAAGGUGGGGAUGACGUCAAGUCCUCAUGGCCCUUAUGACCAGGGCUUCACACGUCAUACAAUGGUCGGUACAGAGGGUAGCCAAGCCGUGAGGUGGAGCCAAUCUCACAAAACCGAUCGUAGUCCGGAUUGCACUCUGCAACUCGAGUGCAUGAAGUCGGAAUCGCUAGUAAUCGCAGGUCAGCAUACUGCGGUGAAUACGUUCCCGGGUCUUGUACACACCGCCCGUCACACCAUGGGAGUGGGGGAUACCA
rnacentral:rRNA from 1 species